ensembl:lncRNA LOC102547276 uncharacterized LOC102547276
CCACACCUUAAUCCCAGCACUCGCGAGGCAAGUGUUCUACAUACCGCUGGGUAUGGUGAAAGAAGGAAAGUCAAGGCACGGACCUACUGUGGGUCAUGUGGUAGACACACGGUUAAAAGUCUCUGCUAUUGAAUCUGACCUAUCCCCUCAGGCUCCUGUUUUAACCUUGGCUCCCUGCUUCUGGCACUGUUUUGAAGGCUUGGGCUGAGCUGCCUUAAAGUUUACUCCUGCCUCUGGUUCUCCUUGCUUUCUCUAAUUCUGUAUUGCUACCGUGUAAGCCGUCCUCCACUCCAUGCUUCUCCCUGCCACAGACAGCUGCCAUGAAUUCUGCCAUGCCUUCCCUGUGUGAGAGACUGAAACAAGAGCCAAAAUAGAUAUUUCUUCCUUUAAGCUGCUUCUGUUGGGGCAUUUUGCUCACAGCAGCACAAAAGAAGCUAGUACGGUCUUUAACACUUCUGCCAUGAGAGAGGCUCCAACCUUUCUGGCUCCCUCAAAUCUAGAUUGGCUUUUAUGAUUUGCCUGGCCAGCAGAUUUUAAAGGAUGUCACAGUCUGGGGUUCCUGUGUCACGAGAAGCCUUGACGCUUCUUUACAACUGUCUCAGAGCACUUGCUCUGGGGAAAGCCAGGUGCCAUCAGAGAAUUCCACGUCUCUGAAGUUGCCAUACUGGAAGGUAGCUGGGCUCCAACCUUUCUAGUCCACAGCCAUUCACUUGGGUACCAGAUAAGAAGCCAAGAAAAGGAGUCCCUGUGAUACACAGCUACUAGUUUAUGAGCAUAAUAAGUAGGAGUACUAGUUUAAGCCAGAAAGUUGGGGAAUGGCUGAUUACACGAUAGAAAACUGUAACGCAUCCUGUAACUCACUCUCGACAAGGACAAGAAGUCUAGUGAUGUAGACCCAAUUAAGAAUUCAUCAAGGGGGACUGGAGAGAUGGCUCAGUGGUUAAGAGCACCAACUGCUCUUCCUGAGGUCCUGAGUUCAAAUCCCAGCAACCACAUGGUGGCUCACAACCAUCUGUAAUGAGAUCUGAUGCCCUCUUCUGGUGUGUCUGAAGACAGCUACAGUGUACUCAUAUAUAAUAAAUAAAUAAAAUAUUAAAAAAAAAAGAAUUCAUCAAGGAAGGGCUGGUGAGACUUGGUGCGGUAGUACCUGACUUCAGUCCCAGCACUGGAGGGCAGAGGCAGAUGGAUCUUUGUGAGGCCAGCCUGGUCUACAUAGUGAGUUCCAGGACAAAUCAGAGAUGUAUAAUAGAGAGACCCUAUUAAAAAGAUUUUUUUAAUUAAAAAAAAAAACAAUAGAGUUGGUGAGAUAGCUCAGUGGGUAGAUACUUGCUGUGUAAAUCUGACAACUUAAAUUCAACCCCAGAAACCCGUAGAAGGAGAGAACUGACCCCACAACAUUGUCUUCA